rnacentral:lncRNA from 10 species
CAAGAGAAUAUACCCAAAGCAUUAUACUGGCUCUGAGGUAAAUAACUUCUGGACCAGUUGUGUCAGUAAUACCUACUGUUAUUGUGAGAAUCAAAGUAGCAAGGUCCUUAGUAAGGAAGCCCUAAAUUUGUUUCAGUAUGUUAGAACCAAAGUGCUAAGUUAAUGUGUCAGAAUGUGGACACCCUGUAUCUCCCCAUCUUUCUCCCCAGUGAAACCUGCAAGUUUUAAAAGAAAGAUUUAGAUUUAUUCUAUGCAUUUUAUCCACUUUGUCUUGUUACUUAAAGACACUAUUUGUUUUUUUUACCAGUGUGUGUUGUUCCCCUCUAUGUGUUCAUGUCUUCCCAUCAUUUAGCUCCCACUUACAAGUGAGAACAUGUGGCAUUUGGUUUUCUGUUCCUGCAUUAGUUUGCUAAGGAUAAUGGCCUCUAGCUCCAUCCAUGUCCCUGCAAAGGACAUGAUCUCAUUCUUUUAUAUGGUUGCAUAGUGUUCCAUGGUGAUAUGUCCCACAUUUUCUUUAUCCAGUCUAUCUUCGAUGGGCAUUUAGAUUGAUUUCAUGUCUUUGCUAUUGUGAAUAGUGUUGCAAUGAAUAUAUGCGUACAUGUGUCUUUAUAAUAAGCAAUUUAUAUUCCUUUGAGCAUAUAGUCAGUAAUGGUAUUGCUGCGCCAAAUUAUAUUUCUGGUUCUAGAUUCUUGAUGAAUAGCCUCACUGCCUUCCACAAUAGUUGAACUAAUUUAGACUCCCACCAACAGUAUAUAAGAAUUCAUUUUUCUCCAUGACCUCUCCAGCAUCUGUUAUUUUCAGAAUGUGGACAGAUUAAAA